rnacentral:rRNA from 1 species
UCCUACGGGAGGCAGCAGUGAGGAAUAUUGCGCAAUGGGGGAAACCCUGACGCAGCGACGCCGCGCGGAGGAUGAAGGUUUUAGGAUUGUAAACUCCUGUUAAGUGGGGCGAAAAACUCUGUUAUAAUACAGCAGAGGAAUGACGGUACAACUAGAGAAAGCACCGGCUAACUUCGUGCCAGCACCCGCGGUAAUA